rnacentral:lncRNA from 10 species
ACCAAGGCUGUGUGUGUGCUUUUUGGUACACUGCCUAUAUCCCAUCUCUUAGUAAUUUCAUCUGUACCUGUGGCUUCUAAUUACAAAUCUUUGCAACUCUCGUGCCUCAGCCUCCCGGGAGGCUGGGACUACAGGUGUGUGCCACCACGCCCAGCUAAUUUUUGUAUUCCUUUCUUUCUGCUAGUAUUGCCUUUCAAGUUCCUAUAGCUUACUGCUCUCCCAUUACAAUACUCUUCUUACAAGUCUAAUCCGGAGCCACCAAUUAUUUAAC